rnacentral:rRNA from 1 species
UACAGAGGUCCCGAGCGUUGUUCGGAUUCAUUGGGCGUAAAGGGUGCGUAGGCGGCAUGGCAAGUCGGGUGUGAAAUCCCGGGGCUCAACCCCGGAACUGCACUCGAUACUGCCGUGCUUGAGUGUUGGAGAGGAGACUGGAAUUUACGGUGUAGCAGUGAAAUGCGUAGAUAUCGGGAGGAACACCUGUGGCGAAAGCGGCUCACUGGACCACAACUGACGCUGAGGCGCGAAAGCUAGGGGAGCAAACAGG